UGGCAUCGUUGCAAUUCGGUUCUAACAUGAAGACUCUGGUGUUUCAACUAUUAGCACUCUCUUGCCUGAUGAGAAUGGUAGUCUCUGAAAUAAAACCUGAUGCAGCUUGGUUAAAAAAGAAUGAAGAUCUUGUGAAAUGGUGCCAUCUAAAUCAGGGAUCCUUGUGGGACCGCGAAAAAUGUGUAUAUAAUGGUAUAACAUAAAGACAUUCCAUAACAUUUAUGUUGAAUUUAACAAUUAAUUUAACUAAAAAGAUAAUUAUACACAGAUAUAAAUGCUUUUGGUUCUACUGAUUAAAUAAUAAGAGUGUCCUUUGGAGUAUACAAACACCUCGAUGGCAUCUCGAUAUGUAUUUGCAUUCAAUCCCAUUGCAAUCAUAACGGUUCCACGGACUGCAGCCUGCAUCUGCUCCCCUGGAAGUAUCGUGCCUCCACGCCAUCAUCAUAAUCAUCCUGGUGCACAGACGCUCUAAUCGCUCAUUAAACGGCCACAAUUUGCCCGGACGGCGUUGCAUUUAAAUUACUUUCCCAUUGACUUGGCCAGGGGAAUUGGCUGAAAUUUGUUUAUGAGGGCCAGCGCAGACCUUUUAACUAAAACUAAAGCUCAUAACUCUGGCCAACCGACAUUCGGAUCUGUCUGCUCCGUUGGACAAUCGAGUCGCGUGAAUUUUAGCAAUCAGGCAAGGCCCGUGGAAGUUCCAAAGUCGCAGCUGAAAACUCUUGAAACUCCAGCCAAUGUUCCCUCCCCAGAACCCCACUGGUCCUACUUUGUUGUCGUCGCAUUCAUCAAAAAACGCUAAAGUCGUGCAGUUCGGUUUCCAAAUCUAUGCCCCACCCGCAUCCUCGAGUUCUGCAUUUUUCCCCUCAGCCCGUUCCCUUAUUGCAAUUGGCAUGCCAUGCUUGAGUUUUCCAAGUUUUUCUUUAGAAUUUUCCAUGCUCUUUAUGGGAAGAGAGGGGUAGCCAAGCUGACCGACGUGAUAUUAUAAAUUUAGCUUGCCCCAGCCUGCUGCCUCUUUCUUGUCCACCCAUGGGAAACUGCUUUCUGCCAUAUUUUGACUUUCUCUAAUCUCCCAGAAUCACCAGAACCAAACUUUGAGCUAUUCUUCAGGAUAGAGUUUGCAUGAACCCUCUUUGAAUAUAUCUUUAUGAUAUAUUUUAGUCAUGUCAACUGCGACUAUUAUGUGAAAACUAUAUUGUUAAUGGACUUGCAAAAUUUAGAAACUAACAAACUAAAAGACAUUUAGAUACCACCAACACUGACCUUCAGUCCAAUUGAUUUAUCUUUCUGAUGUUCUGCUUGGUUGCCGAUUCAAAUCGAUUGAAAUAGACAAAAAUAAGUGCACAUCACAACAAUCUUCCAGCUCCAAAUCAUUUGGUAGCUGACUCACAUUCCCAUUCCCCUGGCCAGGCACUUCAAAAGGAAUUUCAAAUAUUUAUUAACGCCCUGCUCUCGAGCUGGCUCAUAACUGUUGUAAAUUACUUGGCCAGGCUGUAAAUAUUAAUAACCAAAGGGUGAAGCGCCGGAAUCCCCGAAAUAGAGGCAAUCGACCGAAUGAGGGGGCGACUAUUUCGAGCUGUGUUGAGGAACCAAUUAAGCGGAUUUCAAGUGCUACGAAAAUAGCGCCGCACAAUCAAAAGGUGACGAAGCGAGCUCGCCGGCAAGGAGGAAAACUCGUGGAAAACCCGGGGAAAACUUCACUCGUCUAUUACAUAAGGCAGAUGCUGAAGAGGGUGAUAGUGCCGGAUAAUGGAGGAGUGGAUGGGGGGGAACUGACAUUGAAAUGUUGCGCGUGCAGCAGUGCAAACAAAUUUAAAAAUAAAAUAAGGAGAGCCGCGUAAGGGAAAUGCUGAGGAAAGUUGCGUCUGCAGCAUAAAUUAAACUGCAUUGCAUUGCUGCAUUAAGAGAUCAAACACGAGUGGUGGCGAAGGGGGAAAGGCUUUCCCAGCAGGAGGCUGCAUCUGCUUCUCGAGCAUUUAAAAUGCUGUAAAUUUUAAUUAGACGAGAUGCUCGUACUCCGAAUUUGGAGGCGAGCAAGCUGAGAAAUGUGCCAAGGGAUUCCUCUGCUAAAUAUCUGAAUAAAGAUAACGAUAAAUAAUUAGGGUAAAUUUAACCAGGAGGUGAAGAUUUUAACUUGAUUUAGAUCUUAUCAAUUAGAUAGGUUUACGGUGCGCAUGGAAUAAUGGCAAAAUGCAGAUACGAACAAGUGGAAAGCUCCAGCCAUAUUAUAAAAUUCAGUUUUAUUAAAAAUCCAAAGCUGGAACAAAGGAUAGACGCCCUAUAAUGCCGAGCAUUUUAAUUAUCCACUACUAUUAACUUCCUGGUAUCAACUGCCGAAGACCUUGGAGCAGUUUCAAUGCCAAAACUCUUUGGUCUCCGUCGGAGUUGGCCAUAAAUAAUUAUCAUGACAAUAUUUAUCCCCGGGCAAUGUGAACUUUUCGCACAAAGACCCGAGACUCUGGAGCCGAAAGUUGAGUGCAACUCAGCUCGAUUUGAUGCCAGGCGAUUCAAAAUGAAUCGCGGCUCUCGAGGCCUCCUUUGUUUUUUGUUUGCCGCUUUCAGCAAACUGCAGGCAAUACUGUUGACAUUGGCUGGAUGUCUAGGAGCCAGUUAUGGCCAAGAUCUAGCUACUUCGUUCUGGUGUAGUAGGUUCCAAAAGGAAAAUUUAAAUGGUAAAGUAAACAUGGUAUAUUAAAAUUCCGUUCUAAACCGUAAUAAAAGGUUUAUAACGAAGCUUAUAACGCUAUACUUAUUUUUAUUGCUAAUGGGAAACAUUAUCUGCUGUUUUUUGUUGUCCUACAAUCAGAGUUUUAUAUUUGGGUAUAGCAUUUUACGAGUUCCCUCCUCAUCACUGGCUCAUCUUGAGGUUCUGGGCCCUUCUCCCGCUCCUAGCCGGCUUAUCAAAAAUUGCAUGGCAUUGCAGCAGGCCGGGAAUGCUAGGUAAGAACAUUGUUGUUCGACUGCGCCUUGGCGGCAAUAAACGAAACAAAAUGAAACUUACACUUUUCAGUGGGUCCACGGGUCCAGCCCCCUCCGAAAUGUCGGCAUAGCCACAAUUCCUGACAUUCGUUGGCUGAGAUUAAUGCGCCUUUGGUUGCAGCCGCCAAGUCGGCGAGAGGGCAGGUCAAGGGCCCGAGGUCUGAGGCGUCUGGCCUAUACUCUAAACAAAUCAGAGUUUAAGGGCUAUGCGGAAACCACGUGGUAAGUGAUAAAGUUCUUCCUAGAAGUCCAUUAUUCAAUUAAUUUAUAACAAAGUAAACAAACAAUAUUGAAGUUGAGUCGAUACAUACGCUCUUGAAUUCCGAAGAAUUUCUUUCUUUUGCGAGACUACAAAGAACUUUAGAGUAUUACACAAAGAUAGUGGGGUUGUCAAAAAAAAAAAACCAUAAAUAUUUUGUAGUAUUUCAAGGAAAGCGUAUUCCAAAGCCUUCACUUCCUAGUGCAUCUCAGCUUUCUUGCUUGCGCUUUUUUGUUUGAGCCUUUUUGUCGACCUCAGCCGCAGUUUAAGUUCCAGUCUCGGAUUGCGCAAUAAGAGCCCUCAGAGAAACAAAAAAAAAAAAAUAAAUAAAAAUAAAUAGAGAGCGGGUAAAGAACGAGGCAAGAAAGGAGCCACACAGCAAAUUGUUAAAAAUAAUUUAUAUUAAAACGCAGCACAAAAAGACAUUGCAAUGAAAAUUGUGCAAACAAUUCGAGUCCAGAAAAAAAAAGCAGGCGCAGAGAUGCCAGGCAGAUCCGGCCAUCCAGAUAAGCGAGGAGGAGCAGCCAGGCCGGGAUGGACAGGAGGGAUCCGGGAGCAAAAGCCAGAGCUGCAAACAAAUGUCCAAAUGAUAUUUUGUCAUAAUAAAUGGCACAACUAUGAUUAUUUAUGACUCGAAAUGCGAUCGUUCCCUCCACCGGCUCGCUCAAUUUAAGUCUCAUAAUCAAAGACGAGACGAGGAGCUCUGGUCAUG
ensembl:ncRNA lncRNA:CR43912 long non-coding RNA:CR43912